AUUUACAAUAGCUACGGAGGGUAGGAGAAAUGCUACCUAUAGGAGGCCUAUCAAAAUCACUUGUGAACCAGGUGCAGUGGCACACACCUGUAAUCCCAGCGCUUUGAGAGGCCAUGGUGGAAGAUCACUUGAGGCCAGGAGUUUGAUGGCCUCACCAGCCUGGGCAAUGAAGCAAGAUCCCAUCUUUUUUAUUUAUUUAUUUAUUAAUUUUUGAGACGAAGUCUCACUCUGUUACCCAGGCUGGAGUGCAGUGGCACGAUCUUGGCUCACUGCAACUUCCACCUCCCAGGUUCCGGCAAGUCUCCUGCCUCAGCCUCCUGAGUAGCUACAGUGACCUGUGAUCAUGCCACUGCCUGGGCAACAAAGCAAGACCCUGUCUCUAGAAAAAAAAAAAAUGAUUAUUAUUAUUAUUGUGGUGGUCUGAAAGUAGGAGGAGUGACAGAGAAACAUGAAGAACUUUGAUCAAACUUAGAACAUUUCUCAGACAAGAUUCUUGGAGAAAUUAAAAUUAAACAUUAUUUGAACAUUUGCUAUUCCCCCACACCCUGGGCCCUGCUCUAAUAUUACCUGGUGGUUUUGUUUGCUUGUUUGUUUGUUUCCAAGGUGGAGUCUUGCUCUGUCGCCCAGAGUUGGAGUGCAACAGCACGAUCUCGGCUCACUUCAACCUCCAUCUCCCGAGUUCAAACAAUUUUCCUGCAUCAGCCUCCCGAGUAGCGGGGACUAAAGCCAUCAGGUAGGGCCGAAUUGACUAAGUGUCAGCAUGGUGUCACCUGGAGAGGAACGUCAGAGCCUGACUGGGGUGAAGAGGAUGUCCUGUGAAGGGAAAGCCCAACCAUGGUGUCAGACUUGACAAGAAGGAGAACAUCCUUGUAGACAAUUGCCUGGCACAGGAUGUUGGAGCCUGUGUGAAGUGAGGACAUCCCCACGAUAUGAACUCUCAGAGCCCACAAGCAGAGUUGGCCCAUUGUGAAGGGGGUCUUCAUAAUACUUACCCAGUCGGAUUUCAAAAUUGCUGUGGUCCAGUGAUUGCUGUGUCC
rnacentral:lncRNA from 1 species